ACAGCGGAUGCCGAAAAGCUAAAAGAGUAGGCG
rnacentral:ncRNA from 1 species